AUGGCAACCUGGGCAGAGGAGGCACCAGCCGGCGAUGACCUGGACUGGGCAGCUCAUACGGAUGCCAUCCAUGCGCAACUGACGCGCGCCCAGCACCACUUCAAGAAGCAGGCGGACAAGCACUGCAUCGAGCGCUCCUUCCAGGUGGGGGAACAAGUCCUACUGAAGUUACAACCCUACGUGCAACGCUCGGUGGUCUCGCGCCCAUGCGCCAAGCUCGCAUACAAAUUCUUCGGCCCCUACACCGUGUUGGAGAAGAUUGGACCGCUGGCUUACAAGCUGGAUUUGCCGCCGAACAGCCGCGUGCACCCAGUCUUCCACGUCUCCCAGCUGAAGCCGUUCAUGCCGGAUUACACGCUGGUGUUCGCCGAGCUUCCCCGAGUCCAAGACCUGUCUGCUUCAAUGGCAGAGCCCGUCAAGAUUCUAGAGCGGCGCAUGAUGAAGCACGGUGACGCGCCCGUGGUGCGGCUCAAGAUCUAGUGGUCGUCUUCGUCCUCGGACGCGGCCACCUGGGAGGACUACGAUGUACUACGUCGGCGAUUUCCCACGGACACCAUCUGGGAGGGGGAGGCCUUGUCUUAA
rnacentral:rRNA from 1 species